rnacentral:rRNA from 1 species
GAUGAACGCUGGCGGCGUGCCUAAUACAUGCAAGUCGAGCGAACGGACGAGAAGCUUGCUUUUCUGAUGUUAGCGGCGGACGGGUGAGUAACACGUGGAUAACCUACCUAUAAGACUGGGAUAACUUCGGGAAACCGGAGCUAAUACCGGAUAAUAUUUUGAACCGCAUGGUUCAAAAGUGAAAGACGGUCUUGCUGUCACUUAUAGAUGGAUCCGCGCUGCAUUAGCUAGUUGGUAAGGUAACGGCUUACCAAGGCAACGAUGCAUAGCCGACCUGAGAGGGUGAUCGGCCACGCUGGAACUGAGACACGGUACAGACUCCUACGGGAGGCAGCAGUAGGGAAUCUUCCGCAAUGGGCGAAAGCCUGACGGAGCAACGCCGCGUGAGUGAUGAAGGUCUUCGGAUCGUAAAACUCUGUUAUUAGGGAAGAACAUAUGUGUAAGUAACUGUGCACAUCUUGACGGUACCUAAUCAGAAAGCCACGGCUAACUACGUG